GCUUCACAAGUCAGUGAGCACGCAGGCGCCGACCUUCUGCUGAAAGCUGCAGCCCAUGUCGCAGCAUCCUCAACCAGCGCAGGCAUUCUGAGCAGAGCUGACUCACAAGCUGUAACAUCUGAAAACAGAGCUACCCCGACUGUUUCCUACGCUUCUGAACGUUUGGAAGGAGCAUGUCAUAGUUCAGGGCAACCAAAGAAAAUGGACCCUGAAACUUCCAC